UGCAUUGUGAAAAGUGAAAACUCUCAUGGCAAGAAGAAGUUUCUAAUGAAAAGAAAAGUUGUUCAUUAAAGAUAAAAGUUUUUGAAGUUUUGUUAUGCUAUAAAGGUAAAGUUUCUGAUGAAAGUACAAGUUUAUGUUUAAAAGUUAUCAGAUAUCUGUUUUUAUGAAACGUUAAGUUUUAUGAUAAUGAAAGUUAUAGUAUUUUAUGAGAAGCAGUUUAUAAGGAAAAGUUUUCUUAUUAGUCAAGAUGUUUCUAGUUUAAUACAAAGUUGCCGAUUAUCUGAUUUAAGUUAAAAUAAUUAUCUUGUAAUGAGAAUAUAUGUAUGGCGACUCUGUAGGAAGUGAAAGAAGUUUAAUCCAAAAGGUUUUGGUAAUAUUAAACCGAUAAGAAAAAUGAGAAUAAUUAUUUUCUAUGAUGAGCGUAUAAGCUAUUAUUAUGAAUAGUAUAAAAUACUAUGCAUGAAAAGAUGUUAUCCUGUUCGAAUAUUCAAAGAAUGAAAUGAUUUGGUUACAUACAUCCUUAUUGAAUUCUCAUAUAUCUUACCUUUACUGUGCUAUGUAGCUCAACCCUUCCACUCUUUCAGUUAGUAGGUUUUAUUUUGGAGCAGAGGGAGCCUUAGUCGAGUUUGGAAGGAGCUGGUUUAGUUUUAUAUGUAUAGAUCCUAAAUUAGCAAUAUGAUGUUUAGAUUUGUAGCAUUGUUUAUUUUAAGAUCUAAUGAAAGUGUAUACCUUAAAGUAUUAAGAGAUGUAUUAUGUGAAAUUCCGAAUUUGAACAAGUGGUGAAUUAUGUUAUUCUUUGGAGUACAA